UGAAACGGCAAACCGUCCGAAAGGGCGGGACGCAAAGCUAGGGGGCUAACGCGAAGCAACGCUAUGCCAGCCCGGCUGCCA
rnacentral:ncRNA from 1 species